UGCUAAAAAUCCCGACUUCGGAAGGGUUGUAUUUAUUAGAUUAAAAACCAAUGCCCUUCGGGGCUCUCUGGUGAAUCAUGAUAACUAGUCGAAUCGACAGGCCUUGUGCCGGCGAUGGCUCAUUCAAAUUUCUUCCCUAUCAACUUUCGAUGUUUGGGUAUUGGCCAAACAUGGUGGCAACGGGUAACGGAGGGUUAGGGCUCGACCCCGGAGAAGGAGCCUGAGAAACGGCUACUACAUCCAAGGAAGGCAGCAGGCGCGCAAAUUACCCAAUCCCGACACGGGGAGGUAGUGACAAUAAAUACUGAUACAGGGCUCUUUUGGGUCUUGUAAUCGGAAUGAGUACAAUUUAAAUCCCUUAACGAGGAACAAUUGGAGGGCAAGUCUGGUGCCAGCAGCCGCGGUAAUUCCAGCUCCAAUAGCGUAUAUUAAAGUUGUUGUGGUUAAAAAGCUCGUAGUUGAACCUUGGGCCUGGCUGGCCGGUCCGCCUCACCGCGUGCACUGGUCCGGCCGGGCCUUUCCCUCUGCGGAACCCCAUGCCCUUCACUGGGCGUGGCGGGGAAACAGGACUUUUACUUUGAAAAAAUUAGAGUGCUCAAGGCAGGCCUAUGCUCGAAUACAUUAGCAUGGAAUAAUGAAAUAGGACGUUGCGGUUCUAUUUUGUUGGUUUCUAGGACCGCCGUAAUGAUUAAUAGGGACAGUCGGGGGCAUCAGUAUUCAAUUGUCAGAGGUGAAAUUCUUGGAUUUAUUGAAGACUAACUACUGCGAAAGCAUUUGCCAAGGAUGUUUUCAUUAAUCAGGAACGAAAGUUAGGGGAUCGAAGACGAUCAGAUACCGUCGUAGUCUUAACCAUAAACUAUGCCGACUAGGGAUCGGACGAUGUUAUAUUUUUUGACGCGUUCGGCACCUUACGAGAAAUCAAAGUGC
rnacentral:rRNA from 1 species